CAAGCCAAGAACACAGAAGAAGGGGGUGUUACGGGAGGAAUUGUUGCUUAGUCCCUUACAGCAGCAGCUCUCUCCACAAUCAGAGGAUGGUAUUUUAAACCCCAUGAACUCUGCUUUGUCUGAGACCUUUGAACAGUGCUUGGCACCACACUCUGCUUCAGAGUUGUAUGCACCAGGCUUUUCUCACAAAGGAGAGAGCAACAGGACAGCCCAGAUCAGGCAGGGAGGACAUCUCAUCGGCUGGAGCCCAGAAGCUACGGGGAAUCCUCUGCUCAUAUAAACAUCAGUGUGCUUCCCAAAGGCUGCUCAGCACUUUGCCCAGAAAACUCAGGAACUCAGGCCACUGUAGUUCAGCUGAACCUCAAUUUUCACAGACCAAGACUGACUACACCCCUCCAGAGAGCUGUGCUUCAGGAGCUGGCUGGACUUCUUGCUGCCCAGGAAGGGGAGAGAGCAGUGCCAGCAGCCCAGAGGGAUGGAAGAGAAGUCCACAAGUGCUGCUCACCAAAGCCUGAGAUCUCCCUGCUCCAUGCUGCUGCUCAGGAAGGUGAGCUUCCCUGUGCAGGGACUUUUAUUCCUGCUCCUGCAGGAACCUGCUGUCAGAGAAUUUCCUCUCUACCUGAAGAAAGUAGUGGAGGCCAUGGCGUUGAAGCAGAAAGUUGAGUAAGUCUCUGCUUACAAGUAUUUUGUCUCAUAUAUUUAGGAAGGAAGAGAGAACAAGGGCAAGGCAACUUAGCCCAAGCCUUCACAACCUGUAGAGCCAGUGAUUUGAGCAGAUGUCUGUAAAAGAUUUCAAAGGAAGGAGAGAAGGGGAGCAUAACCUCUCCUUGUUUUCUGUGUUUUCCUAGAGACUCACUGUUCCCACAAAUGGCAGGGAUUUUGGGCUACAACUGCAAAAAGUACAGAUGAACCCUUACACAUAUGAGAAUACAAGUGUUCUUCUGAGGUGGUGAACAUACCUGUGUUUGGCAAGCAGGUGCUUCCCUGCAUGCACAUAAUUUGUGAGCAGAGUUUGACUGCUCUUUAAAAUUAACUUGUGUGUAUACUGUGGCAUCAAAACAGUGCAAAACCCAGCGAGGAACACCCAAAUAUAGCUUCAAAUGGCCAGUUCUGAAGUACAUCCUAUGAGGCCUUACGUCACUUUAAAAGAGAAACUACAUCUGCUGGAUGUGAACUUCUAGCCAUUGUCUUGUACUGGAUGAUCAGACAGCCAGCCCACCUUCUGAGGACCUUCAACUUUUCUACCCAACUAGAAAAGAUUGGCCCCAUUGCUGCAUAUGUGCUGUGCAUACAUCCUGAAGAAAUAUCUUUCCUGAAGAAAAUGGAAUUUUCUGCUAAGUAAUAACAAUGAACCAUGUGAGCCUUGCAAAACAGAAUUUGGUGGUCAGAGAAGGGAGCUGAGAAAUAGGGAAGCAUUUGUUUUAUGACUAUACCCUUGAAGAAGAACUGAGAGACUGAUAAAAGGGAACAUCCCACCUCAGAAGACACCA